CUCUCUCUCUCUCUCUCUCUCAACCAUCUCUUCACUCUCUCUUUCUCAUUUUGAUAAACCCAGAUUAUGUAAUUCUCAAUUCAACCAUCAUUCCCUAGUCAGCUUCACCAAUUCAUCAACGAUUUUAACGAGGACUUUCAUCAUCAUAGAUGCACAAACCCAACCCUAUUCCCCAAUUCUCAUCCCUUCCGUCAGUUACCACUCACUCGAUUCCAAGCUUAGAACCCUAAAUCCCCAAUUCCCCGCUCAUCAAUUCAGCACCUCAAGUCAUCAAAAUCACCAAUUCCCAAAUUGAGUUCGGAGUCAUCAAUUUCAGUUCAACAAUUUCUUACAGCUUGAAGAAGCUAAUGACUAGAGGGAAGAAAACAGUUAUGGUCAUGUUUGGUAUGAAAUUACAAUUUGCAAGAGUGGAACUAUGCAGUAUGCAGAUUUGGUCUUUUUUUCCUUCAGUUUUAGCCUUUUAGCUUUUGUUGAAUAAGAUCAGCUUGUUGGAUUAUGGAAUGAUGAAGUGUUGUAGGGAAUUGCACUCUUACUUGUUCUCUUUGAAAUGAUCAUUUGAAUGUAGUGUUGAAAUCAUGUAGAAAUGCAAACUGGGA
rnacentral:lncRNA from 1 species